GACGAACGCUGGCGGCGUGCUUAACACAUGCAAGUCGAACGGAAAGGCCCUGCUUUUGUGGGGUGCUCGAGUGGCGAACGGGUGAGUAACACGUGAGUAACCUGCCCUUGACUUUGGGAUAACUUCAGGAAACUGGGGCUAAUACCGGAUAGGAGCUCCUGCUGCAUGGUGGGGGUUGGAAAGUUUCGGCGGUUGGGGAUGGACUCGCGGCUUAUCAGCUUGUUGGUGGGGUAGUGGCUUACCAAGGCUUUGACGGGUAGCCGGCCUGAGAGGGUGACCGGCCACCUUGGGACUGCGAUACGGACCAGAAUCCUACGGGAGGCAGCAGUGGGGAAUAUUGCACAAUGGGCGGAAGCGUGAUGCAGCAACGCCGCGUGCGGGAUGCCGGCCUUCGGGUUGUAAACCGCUUUCGCCUGUGACGAAGCGUGAGUGACGGUAAUGGGUAAAGAAGCACCGGCUAACUACGUG
rnacentral:rRNA from 1 species